rnacentral:lncRNA from 1 species
UUUGGCAUUUCGAAAACCAAUAUCGGAUGAAUGAGAAAUUACGAAAAAGGACGAAAAUCAGUGAAUAGACACCUUUUCAUAAAGGUGCAUUGUUUAGAAAGGGUGCAUGGUUUGGCCUCAACCAUUAGUGAAUAGACACCUUUUCAUAAAGGCCAUUAGUGAAUAGACACCUUUUCAUAAAGGUGCAUUGUUUGGAAAGGGUGCAUGGUUUGGCCUCAACCAUUUCGUCCACACCCUUUCAUGGUCUAUAAAUAGGACCCUUUGGGU